UACGUAGGGUGCGAGCGUUGUCCGGAAUUAUUGGGCGUAAAGGGCUCGUAGGCGGUUUGUCGCGUCGGGAGUGAAAACCCAGGGCUUAACUCUGGGCUUGCUUUCGAUACGGGCAGACUAGAGGUAUGCAGGGGAGAACGGAAUUCCUGGUGUAGCGGUGAAAUGCGCAGAUAUCAGGAGGAACACCGGUGGCGAAGGCGGAUCUCUGGGCCAUUACUGACGCUGAGGAGCGAAAGCGUGGGGAGCGAACAGG
rnacentral:rRNA from 1 species